GGGCGAAUAGCGCAGCGGUAGCGCAGCUCGUUUACACCGAGAAGGUCGGGGGUUCGAUCCCCUCUUCGCCCACCA
rnacentral:tRNA from 1 species